rnacentral:misc_RNA from 1 species
UCGCGGCUUAUCACCGGCAGUCCCCUUAGAGUGCCCAACUGAAUGAUGGCAACUAAGGGCGAGGGUUGCGCUCGUUGCGGGACUUAACCCAACAUCUCACGACACGAGCUGACGACAACCAUGCACCACCUGUGCAGGACCCUUGCGGACCCCCCAUUUCUGCGGCGGUCCGGUCCAUGUCAAGCCUUGGUAAGGUUCUUCGCGUUGCAUCGAAUUAAUCCGCACGCUCCGCUGCUUGUGCGGGCCCCCGUCAAUUCCUUUGAGUUUUAGCCUUGCGGCCGUAGUCCCCAGGCGGAGCACUUAAUGCGUUAGCUGCGCUACCGGAGGGGUCGAUACCCCCGACAGCUAGUGCUCAUCGUUUACGGCGUGGACUAC